CCUACGGGCGGCAGCAGUGGGGAAUAUUGCACAAUGGGCGGAACCCUGAUCCAGCGACGCCGCGUGAGUGAAGAAGUAUCUCGGGAUGUAAAGCUCUUUUAUCAGGGAAGAAGAAAGACGGUACCUGACUAAGAAGCCCCGGCCAACUACGUGCCAGCAGCCGCGGGAAUACGUAGGGGGCAAGCGUUAUCCGGAUUUACUGGGUGUAAAGGGAGCGUAGACGGGGGGGCAAGUCUGGAGUGAAAGGCAGGGGCCCAACCCCUGGACUGCACUGGAAACUGUCCGGCUGGAGUGCAGGAGAGGUAAGUGGAAUGCCUGGUGUAGCGGUGAAAUGCGUAGAUAUUAGGAGGAACACCAGUGGCGAAGGCGGCUUGCUGGACUGUAACUGACGUUGAGGCUCGAAAGCGUGGGGAGCAAACAGGAUUAGAUACCCCAGUAGUC
rnacentral:rRNA from 1 species